GUCCCGUCCCGUCCCCGCCGCUUUCAGCCGAGGCUCUUCCCCUGAUCACUCCUGGUUUUCCCUUUAUCUGCGGCGGGGAGGUGCGGAUGAAUGGUUUGGUGGGACGCGCUUCAGCGAGGAGGUGCCGGAUUACAGCACACACUGUGGGCGAUACAUUGAUUAUUCCUAGGCUCUGCUUUCCCGCUUUCCCUGGCAGUCCCUGAUUACUCGAUACAACACAUUACGGCACGGGGGUGUCCAUUGUUCCGAUAGUCAAAAUUGUAAUCGUACGGGGUUUCUCAUUACGACUGCGGUACACCUUAAAAUGAUACUGUUUUAUAUAAAAACACCCAAACCCACAGUCGAAAGCUAAACUGCGUUCUGUGUGGGCAUGAGUAAGCUCUCCAUAAGAAUCUCUGUUUAGCCUGUCAAAGACAAGUUCAGUUUGCGUGCAACAAUGUUUAAUUUACAUUCUCUGUUUCCGAAGCUUUAAGUCAAUGGCACUUUUUAGCAUGAAAAGUUGAGCACAACUUUGUUCGUUUCGUUAUAAAAUGAGCCUUGCCUGCCUGCCUGUCAGAGCGAUUUCUAGAGUCACGGGGCACAUUUUCCCCCGUGACUUUGAGAAUAAGAAGAAACGAGGAUUUUGCACAGUCUCAGCAGUUAGAGCAUCGAGCAUCAAAAGAUGAGAUAGCAACCAGACUGAGCCUGUAAUAUCCUAGAGCACAUCCGCAGUAGUAAGGUCACGGCCGCUGCAAGGCGAAGGUGCUGCCACUCCCCUCGCUGCCUAAAAGAAUCAGGCAGAUACUGGAAACAACCCAGCCCUGAUCGUUUGUUUUUCGCAGAGCAGCGGGACCUCGCAGAGACCCUCGAGAAGGCUCUGCUGACAGCAAAGAGUUGCAGGAGUUCAACUGCAGCAGGGCUCGUGCUGUGGGCUCGGUCCAUUCUGCGUACCCCAAGAACACAAGGUCUGGGCUCAAACCCACCAAGCAGCAAGCAUGAGAAGAAAGCAAGGUUUUGUUGUUUUUUUUUUUACUUGCUUGUAGUAUUUUAAAAUACAGUGAUUUCUCAAACUUGUGGAAACUUUUGACUACAGGUAACCUUCAAAGGAUGGUGCUUAGUAGCAAGGUUUCCCUCCUCCUGUGCCUCACCACCACUACCACCAGCAGCAGCCUCACCUCUAUGUUUUCCUUACCAUAUUCUAUUACAAACAAAUCAGUACAGUUGAGCUCUCAUUAAGUACAGGAGAUAUUCCCAGAAUCUCAGUGUAUUCUUUCACACAAUAAGAACAAGACAGACAGCACAAGGGGAAGUUGCUUUGAAACACAGCCUCACAUAGCUCUUUGAAACCUUUGGCUGGAAAAAGCCAGCCAACCUCAGACAACUAUUCUGCUUUGAGCAGCCACCACCUUGCUGAUACAUUAAGUCAUUCUAAUGAAAAAGACAAAACUAGUUAUUGCAUUAGACAUAUGGCUAGUUUCUCUUUAGAGAGGAUGGAAGAAUUUUAAGGAAAACCUUAAAAUUUCUUGCUAGAGUAUUGCCUCAAAUGGUUCUUGUUCAGUGAAACAUCAGAGGACUACUUCUCAACACUUACUAUGUGUAUUGUAAUAAAGCCCUACACUGUUUCAUUAAGCACUGCAUAAAUUUAACGAGUUUGAGUUGACAAUCUGACAAAAAGAUUAAUCUCGAACUCCCAGCAUAAACAGAACUUCCUUUAAUGUUGGAAGAUACUUUGCAGAAGGUAUUUGCAAGCCUAGGUGAUGUGACUACAGCAGGUUACAGUGAGUAGACCAGAAUGAAUUUUCUUCAGGAUCAAGUCUGUCAUUCCAGUUCUCCUGACUAGCAUCUGAAGGUUUGGCUGCAAAUUGAAGCACUUCCCACCCCUUUUGCUACCAGUUCUGAAUGCUGAUUCUCACUUCUUGAUCACCAAAAGCAUUCAGCUGGGGUUUUUUCACAGUAUUUUUCUGAAUACUUUUGAAUGGAGACAUGAACUUAUUUCUCCUGACAGUAGGCUCAUUUUCUCAGCUACUUCUGGUAAGCUCUUUAAAAAGAACCUCCAGUCCCCCAGUACCUUGUCAACCACCAGAUGAAAGCCACAGUCUUAAAACAUACUCUGUUUUUCUCAGUAUUUAAUGUAGGACCAGGACAGAUACAAAAGUUCUACCUCUCUGUGCCCUAAUAAUAAUAUCUCCAUCUGACAGCAGGUUAUUUCUGCAACUGUCACGAUUCCUACUUUUCUAGAGCUGUUAUUACCUUUAUAUAUUGCAUAUUAUUACACUGCAUAUUCUUGGGAAGUUGUUCUUCUAGUGGCAGCAUAUGGAGGACCAUCAACUGUCAACACAGAAGUUCAUGCAUUUAGAGUGCUCAGAUGUUAUCUGACAUACAUCGGAGAUUUGCUUCCAGCUCUGAAUUUGCACUUGGAUUUGCAAGCACAGUAAUGUGGACUUCUGAAAAAUAAGUAUAAUUCAUAAAAGUACAUGCUCAAAUGAGUUGCUGAAAAUAAAUCACCCCAGGUUUAAUUUAUA